rnacentral:rRNA from 1 species
UGCGUAGGUGGUUAGGUAAGACCUGCGGGAAAUCCCUGGGCUUAACCCAGGAAGGUCGCAGGUGACUGCUUAGCUAGAGGGCGGGAGAGGAGCGCGGAAUUCCCGGUGUAGCGGUGAAAUGCGUAGAGAUCGGGAGGAAGGCCGGUGGCGAAGGCGGCGCUCUGGAACGUUCCUGACACUGAGGCACGAAAGCGUGGGGAGCAAACAGGAUUAGAUACCCUGGUAGUCCACGCCCUAAACGAUGGGUACCAAGUGUCGGCGGGUUACCGCCGGUGCCGCACCUAACGGAGUAAGUACCCCGCCUGGGGAGUACGGCCGCAAGGUUGAA